UACGUAGGGGGCAAGCGUUGUCAGGAAUCAUUGGGCGUAAAGAGCGUGUAGGCGGCCCGAUAAGUCCGCUGUGAAAGUCCAGGGCUCAACCCUGGAAUGCCGGUGGAUACUGUCGGGCUCGAAUCCGGAAGAGGUGAGUGGAGUUCCUGGUGUAGCGGUGAAAUGCGCAGAUAUCAGGAGGAACACCAAUGGCGAAGGCAGCUCACUGGGACGGUAUUGACGCUGAGACGCGAAAGCGUGGGGAGCAAACAGG
rnacentral:rRNA from 1 species